CUUUGACAGCUUUAAAGGAAUUUGCCCUGGGGAGGAAGACAGCUGCUUGCCCUGAUGAGGGAUUUUUCUGAGCAGGCCUCCCAAGCCAGACAUGUCAGUGUGAGAUGCUGCCUGCAUUUUUCAUCGUGACCAACAGAUUGUCAAACUACAAUCAAAAGCACUUACUACGAAUGGAACUAUCCCUGUCAUGAGAUUUGAACUCCUGACAUCUUUAUCCACUGAAACUUGAGUGCCCAGGACACAGCAGAGAGGGGAUUUUGGGAGCAUUUCACAAGGCUGCGGCUGUGAGCUGGUUUCAGCAUGAGGAAAAGCCCUCCAUCACCCCAAUGCACAGGAAAGAGAAGGUAAGGCAACCCUCUCUGGGGGGCUGAUAGAUAUGAUGUACUCAGUGGAGAGCCCUAGACCAGCAAAAUCUAUUCCAUCAGUGGAUACUGAUGUCACUAAGGACAGCUUGAGGACAGUAGAGCCAUGCAGAGCCUGAGCUGCAGGAGGGCAGCAGGUCCUGAGGGGUCUGCUGACCCCUCUGCUGCUCUGGCCCAGUUUGUCUGGGGGAAGAUCCCAACUCUUUCCACCUACUCUACCCACUCCCCAUAUCCCUGGAAGGAGGUG